ACGGCUCAGUAACACGUGGCUAAUCUGCCCUUAGGACGAGAACAACCCCGGGAAACUGGGGCUAACUCUUGAUAGGCAAAGAACUCUGGAAUGAGUCUUUACCUAAAGAGAUUCACGUUAUCCUCGUGAAUCUGCCUAAGGAUGAGGCCGCGACCGAUCAGGUUGUUGGCGAGGUAAUGGCUCACCAAGCCUUUUACCGGUGCGGGCCGUGGGAGCGGGAGCCCGGAGAUGGGUACUGAGACAAGGACCCAGGCCCUACGGGGCGCAGCAGUCGCGAAACCUUUGCAAUAAGCGAAAGCUUGACAGGGCUAUCCCGAGUGCCAUCCGCUGAGGAAGGCUUUUACCCAGUCUAGAACGCUGGGGGAAUAAGGAGAGGGCAAGUCUGGUGUCAGCCGCCGCGGUAAUACCAGCUCUUCGAGUGGUGUGGAUGUUUAUUGGGCCUAAAGCAUCCGUAGCUGGCUAGGUCAGUCCCUUGUUAAAUCCACCGAAUUAAUCGUUGGAUCGCGGGGGAUACUGCUUGGCUAGGGGACGAGAGAGGCAGACGGUAUUUUCGGGGUAGGGGUGAAAUCCUAUAAUCCCGGGAAGACCACCAGUGGCGAAGGCUGUCUGCUAGAACGCGCCCGACGGUGAGGGAUGAAAGCUGGGGGAGCGAACCGGAUUAGAUACCCGGGUAGUCCCAGCUGUAAACGAUGCAGACUAGGUGUUUGGACGGCCACGUGCCGUUCUAGUGCCGCAGGGAAGCUGUUAAGUCUGCCGCCUGGGGAGUACGAUCGCAAGAUUGAAACUUAAAGGAAUUGGCGGGGGAGCAC
rnacentral:rRNA from 1 species